rnacentral:rRNA from 1 species
AGUGAACGCUGGCGGCGUGCUUAAGACAUGCAAGUCGAACGGCAGUCUUCGGACUGUAGUGGCGCACGGGUGAGUAACGCGUAAUUGACCUACCCCAAAGUCGCGGAUAACGAUUCGAAAGAAUCGCUAAUACGUGAUGUUCUGUCAGAUUGUGUUCUGCCAGUAAAGAUUGAUUGCUUUGGGAUGGGGUUGCGUUCCAUCAGCUAGUUGGUGGGGUAAAGGCCCACCAAGGCGACGACGGAUAGCCGGCCUGAGAGGGUGGCCGGCCACAGGGGCACUGAGACACGGGUCCCACUCCUACGGGAGGCAGCAGUUAGGAAUCUUCCGCAAUGGGCGAAAGCCUGAUGGAGCGACGCCGCGUGAGGGAUGAAGGUCUUCGGAUCGUAAACCUCUGAAUCAGGGACGAAAGACACUUCGGUGGGAUGACGGUACCUGAGUAAUAGCACCGGCUAACUCCGUGCCAGCCGCCGCCGUAAGAC